AGCGAACGCUGGCGGCAUGCCUAACACAUGCAAGUCGCACGGGGGGGCUUCGGCCUCCCAGUGGCGGACGGGUGAGGAACGCGUAGGGACCUGUCGAGGGGUGGGGGAUAACCGCGGGAAACUGCGGCUAAUACCGCAUGACGCCGCGGCGUGACAGCCGGGGCCAAAGGCGAAAGCCGCCCGCCGAGGGGCCUGCGUCCGAUUAGCUGGUUGGCGGGGUAGCGGCCCACCAAGGCGUCGAUCGGUAGCUGGUCUGAGAGGGUGAUCAGCCACACCGGGACUGAGACACGGCCCGGACUCCUACGAGAGGCAGCAGUGGGGAAUAUUGGACAAUGGGCGCAAGCCUGAUCCAGCAAUGCCGCGUGGGUGAAGAAGGUCUUCGGAUUGUAAAGCCCUUUCGGCGGGGACGAUGGUGACGGUACCCGCAGAAGAAGCCCCGGCUAACUUCGUG
rnacentral:rRNA from 1 species